AACCUAAUAGCGUAAUUAACUUGACUAAUAAUGGGAUUAGUUUUUUAACUAUUUAUAGAUAAUUAACACAAUCCCGGGGCGUUCUAUAUAGUUAUGUAUAAUAAUAUUUAUAUUAUUUAUGCCUCUAACUGGAACGUACCUUGAGCAUAUAUGCUGUGACCCGAAAGAUGGUGAACUAUACUUGAUCAGGUUGAAGUCAGGGGAAACCCUGAUGGAAGACCGAAACAGUUCUGACGUGCAAAUCGAUUGUCAGAAUUGAGUAUAGGGGCGAAAGACCAAUCGAACCAUCUAGUAGCUGGUUCCUUCCGAAGUUUCCCUCAGGAUAGCUGGUGCAUUUUAAUGUUAUAUAAAAUAAUCUUAUCUGGUAAAGCGAAUGAUUAGAGGCCUUAGGGUCGAAACGAUCUUAACCUAUUCUCAAACUUUAAAUGGGUAAGAACCUUAACUUUCUUGAUAUGAAGUUUAAGGAUAUGAUAUAAUGUGCCCAGUGGGCCACUUUUGGUAAGCAGAACUGGCGCUGUGGGAUGAACCAAACGUAAUGUUACGGUGCCCAAAUUAACAACUCAUGCAGAAACCAUGAAAGGCGUUGGUUGCUUAAAACAGCAGGACGGUGAUCAUGGAAGUCGAAAUCCGCUAAGGAGUGUGUAAGAACUCACCUGCCGAAGCAACUAGCCCUUAAAAUGGAUGGCGCUUAAGUUGUAUACCUAUACAUUACCGCUAAAGUAGAUGAUUUAUAUUACUUGUGAUAUAAAUUUUGAAACUUUAGUGAGUAGGAAGGUACAAUGGUAUGCGUAGAAGUGUUUGGCGUAAGCCUUCAUGGAGCUGCCAUUGGCACAGAUCUUGGUGGUAGUAGCAAAUAAUCGAAUGAGACCUUGGAGGACUGAAGUGGAGAAGGGUUUCGUGUGAACAGUGGUUGAUCACGAGUUAGUCGGUCCUAAGUUCAAGGCGAAAGCCGAAAAUUUUCAAGUAAAAAAUCAGUGAGUAAUAUUGUCAAAUCUUUUAUGAUUUUUAAAUACUUGAAUAAUUUUGAACGAAAGGGAAUACGGUUCCAAUUCCGUAACCUGUUGAGUAUCCGUUUGUUAUUAAAUAUGGGCCUCGUGCUCAUCCUGGCAACAGGAACGACCAUAAAGAAGCCGUCGAGAGAUAUCGGAAGAGUUUUCUUUUCUGUUUUAUAGCCGUACUACCAUGGAAGUCUUUCGCAGAGAGAUAUGGUAGAUGGGCUAGAAGAGCAUGACAUAUACUGUUGUGUCGAUAUUUUCUCCUCGGACCUUGAAAAUUUAUGGUGGGGACACGCAAACUUCUCAACAGGCCGUACCAAUAUCCGCAGCUGGUCUCCAAGGUGAAGAGUCUCUAGUCGAUAGAAUAAUGUAGGUAAGGGAAGUCGGCAAAUUAGAUCCGUAACUUCGGGAUAAGGAUUGGCUCUGAAGAUUGAGAUAGUCGGGCUUGAUUGGGAAACAAUAACAUG
rnacentral:ncRNA from 1 species